rnacentral:lncRNA from 1 species
CCUGCUCCAGUGACCCUGGCGGAGCAGGGCCAGCAGGUGGUGGAUGUGGAGACGGAUCUAUUUCUUGGAUUGCCCGGCACCGGCCGCUCCUGAGAUUCAGGCAGGCUGACAACGCCUGAGAAAAAUGCCCAGAAUAAGCUGGCAAUGGAGUUGCAAGCAGCAGCAGGCAAUGGAUGCGGACGGCGUAUAGAUAUAAUAUAAACCCUGUGCAGCGGAAACCUCGAGAGUACAUACAUGAAUUAGUUGUUGUUGUUGAUGUUUCCCCGGGCUCUGGUUGUGAUGUGCCGAUGUCGUUGAUGAGAGGAACGGAUCGUCCGCCAUAGAUCCUCUGGAGAAGAAGGGUGGCGGAGGGAAAGCUAACGGAUA